rnacentral:rRNA from 1 species
CGGCAGGCCUAACACAUGCAAAUUCCGAGCGGUAGCACAGAGAGGCUUGUCUCUCCGGGUGACGAGGCGGGGGACGGGUGAGUAAUGUCUGGGAAACUGCCUGAUGGAGGGGGAUAAUUACUGGAAACGGUAGCUAAUACCGCAUAACGUCGCAAGACCAAAGUGGGGGACCUUCGGGCCUCAUGCCAUCAGAUGUGCCCAGAUGGGAUUAGCUAGUAGGUGGGGUAAUGGCUCACCUAGGCGACGAUCCCUAGCUGGUCUGAGAGGAUGACCAGCCACACUGGAACUGAGACACGGUCCAGACUCCUACGGGAGGCAGCAGUGGGGAAUAUUGCACAAUGGGCGCAAGCCUGAUGCAGCCAUGCCGCGUGUAUGAAGAAGGCCUUCGGGUUGUAAAGUACUUUCAGCGAGGAGGAAGGCGUUAAGGUUAAUAACCUUGGCGAUUGACGUUACUCGCAGAAGAAGCACCGGCUAACUCCGUGCCAGCAGCCGCGGUAAUACGGAGGGUGCAAGCGUUAAUCGGAAUUACUGGGCGUAAAGCGCACGCAGGCGGUCUGUCAAGUCGGAUGUGAAAUCCCCGGGCUCAACCUGGGAACUGCAUUCGAAACUGGCAGGCUAGAGUCUUGUAGAGGGGGGUAGAAUUCCAGGUGUAGCGGUGAAAUGCGUAGAGAUCUGGAGGAAUACCGGUGGCGAAGGCGGCCCCCUGGACAAAGACUGACGCUCAGGUGCGAAAGCGUGGGGAGCAAACAGGAUUAGAUACUCUGGUAGUCCACGCCGUAAACGAUGUCGACUUGGAGGUUGUGCCCUUGAGGCGUGGCUUCCGGAGCUAACGCGUUAAGUCGACCGCCUGGGGAGUACGGCCGCAAGGUUAAAACUCAAAUGAAUUGACGGGGGCCCGCACAAGCGGUGGAGCAUGUGGUUUAAUUCGAUGCAACGCGAAGAACCUUACCUACUCUUGACAUCCAGAGAACUUAGCAGAGAUGCUUUGGUGCCUUCGGGAACUCUGAGACAGGUGCUGCAUGGCUGUCGUCAGCUCGUGUUGUGAAAUGU